rnacentral:tmRNA from 1 species
GGGGAUGAAUGGUUUCGACGGGAAUGGCUCUUUAAAAACAGCAAGCCGGCAACGAUCUUACGGCCGUAAACUUAGGAUCAAAACAUAAACGGCAGCAACAAAUAUGCUGAUCGUCUAGCUUACGCUUACGCCUAAAAGCGCUUUGGCGUAAACUGGCUCCAGAGAUUUUCUCUCGCCGAAAGAUCUGGAUGCAAACAAAGUCGAGAUGCUCCUCUCUGGUGUGAUUUCCCAGUCAGGUUAAGAUAAGAGAAUCUUUGUCUUGGUAUUCCUUGUUGACGGGUUAAGACCAAGACGAGAAACAAAACUCAACUAAGCUUGUAGAAGUUUUUAAGAAAGAUUUUCGGAUCCGGGUUCAAUGCCCGGCAUCUCCACUU